CUCGUUACGCAAACUCUUCUUUUUUUUCUCGAAAGAAUAACAAAUUCAUCCUCUUUCUUAACUCAAUUAUAUUUUCUCAAAUGUUCAAACCUAAUACACAGAGUUCAAUAAAAAAAAAUCAAAAGAGGAUUGAUUGGUGUGAUGAUAAGACCAGAGCUUGUAAUGAAAUCGAUCAUGGACGGGAUCAGGAUUCGCCGUGGCUGAGCUCGGGAUCCGCCGUGGAUGAGCUCGGGAUCCACCGUGGAUGAGCUCGGGAUUCGCCGUGGCUGAGCUCGGGAUCCGCCGUGGAUGAGCUCGGGAUCCACCGUGGAUGAGCUCGGGAUUCGCCGUGGCUGAGAUCGGGAUCCGCCGUGAUGAGCUCGGGAUUCGCCGUGAUGAGCUCGGGAUCCGCCGUGGAUGAGCUCGGGGUCCGCCGUGGCUGAGCUCGGGAUCCGCCGUGGCUGAACUCGGGAUCCGCCGUGGAUGAGCUCGGGAUCCGCCGUGGCUGAGCUCAGGGUAGCUGCGGUAGAGUAUCAGAGAGUGGAAAAGCUCGAGAUUCAGCGACCGUUUCACCGCCUCGAUAACCCGUAAAACUCACCGGACAUUUCAAAUCCACUGUGAGAUAACCUCUUUCCAGAUUUCGCUGGAACUAGUUAACUAGAUCUGAGCGUCGGUGAGAGGUUCUUUGAUCCGUUCGAGGAAACAUGGCAAGGAUGAGAAGUUUUAUAGGUUUGAUUAACAAAAUACAGAGAGCUUGCCCUGUCCUCGGAGAUCACGACGUGAAAGAAUGUCCCUUUGGAAAGCUCUCCCAACCGUAGAUGUCCUUGGUGGCCAGCUUCAGGUAUUUCCAACGGAACGUGCUCCACCAUCACCCGUUACAUGGACAAAUGGAUGGACUCUCACCAACGAGUGGGUACAUGGCCUUAUGUCCUCUUUUGAAUAGUCUUCAUGGAACCUCCCUCCUUCUCAGUUCCCUUCAGUGAUGCCUGUCAACGUCUUCGACUCCCUCAUCCUCACUGCUUCCAAAAUCCUCCACCAAGAACGCAUUAUUGUCCAUGUUGAUGAUCUGGACUCUGAUUCCAAAGUUGUUGUGGUUGGUGACAUUCAUGGUCUCGAGUUCUGAAGCAUGGAGGGUCUUGAGUUCUAGGAAGACCUUUGUACUUUGCUGCUCUUUCACCUGGAGGGUAACACUGCCAUGGCUAAUGGGACUUAAAAGAAGCUGUAAAUCCAUCAAGAGAAACCGCAAGUUACCAAGAGCUCAUUCAUAUAUAAUCGUUGGACAUGUUUGAAUUUAAGCUUUGUUUUUCUUGUUGGACAUGUUUGAAGUUAUUAACCUUUUGGUCUGUUUAACUUUGUUUUUCAUCACCCAACUUUUGUUUUUCUCAAUGGACAUGUACGUGGCUGUUUUUGGUUUGAACUUAUUAACUUGUUCAUCUUUGAGAUUUGGACACAUUAGUAUCUAUAUCCAUAGCCUUUUAAUGUCACAAUUUUUUUUAUCUAAGUUGUUUAGUGUUAGUGACUCUGUCCACCACA